rnacentral:rRNA from 1 species
GACAGAGGAUGCAAGCGUUAUCCGGAAUGAUUGGGCGUAAAGCGUCUGUAGGUGGCUUUUUAAGUCCGCCGUCAAAUCCCAGGGCUCAACCCUGGACAGGCGGUGGAAACUACCAAGCUGGAGUACGGUAGGGGCAGAGGGAAUUUCCGGUGGAGCGGUGAAAUGCGUAGAGAUCGGAAAGAACACCAGUGGCGAAGGCGGCUCACUGGACUGGUAUUGACGCUGAGGUGCGAAAGCGUGGGGAGCAAACAGG